AUAUGGCACGGGCAGAGGAUCUUUUGCAGUGUCAUUGUAGUGUUCAAAAGGCGGAGGAUUGGUUAAAGCCUAGUGUAUUAUUGGAGGUAUUUGAGGCCAGGGCUGUUAGGAUGUGUGUUGCCCGUGCUCAAAGCCUUAGCAAGUUUCCAAAUCCUGAAGAGGGUUUUGCUGAACUCUCAGCUGAUCUUGUUGAGGCAGCAAUUGCUCAUUGCCAGUUGAUUGUUGU
rnacentral:misc_RNA from 1 species